AUGCCAGAAUAAACAUAUCGAAGCUUAAGAAAUUGGUUAAAAUCUUUUAUAAAAGAUUCUGAAGCGCUAUCCAUAUAGAAGCUGUUUUGCAUAUGACAAUUUGGUUGCCUCAUCUUCAUUAGAGAAGGUCAUUGGCAAUGUAUUUUCAUUUCAGCAUCUGUACAAAAUUCUUGGGGAUGCGACCAAUUAUCUUCCUCUAUAAACUCCCCAGCUUAACAUCUUCGAUUAGGCAGUAGUCAAAAACUUCAAUUGAUAUAAGGAAAACAGCUGGUUGUGGGCUCUAGUUAAAACCUGAAUUUACAAUACAGAAUCUUUCAAGUUUUGUUUGACUUGGAACAUAACCAGGCAGCAUUCCUCUUUUAUCAUUUUAAGAGAGAUGAUCUAUUAAGAAGUUCAAUGAACAGCUGAACACCAUAACAGUGGGAAAGAUUCUAACCAGUGUUAGAGUCGAAGAGAUAAGUACUCCUGCCUCUUACUAAAUGAAAAAUGGUAUCCUUCUUCGAUCUGAAACCAAUAAUUGGAGCAGUGAGAGCAUGAGUUGCCUACACAUAAUAGGCCCUGUUGUGAUAGGAUUUCGGACAAUUGACAUAAUGAUUGAGAAUAAAGAUAUUAAGUUUACCCAAUUAGGUGGUUCUAGUUUUCUUCUGUUUUCUGUCUCAUCAUUUUUAUCAAUUGAAAUCAAACAAAUGCAGUCCAACAUCACUCAAGUAUCCUUUUACCUUGUAUUUCCAACAUAAAAAUCACUUUUUGGCGUGCUUUGCGUGAUGACCCACUGAAUCAUGUUAAGUGCAUUGUGUUUAUGUUUGAUGCAUCAAUCGGUUUCUGAUCUUUGGUUUUCUUGUUGGUUUUUCUGCAGAGAGAUAAUGAAGAUGAGGAGUUGUGUAGUGUUUUUGUCCCAACAAAUCAUCUAUACAUAGGCGAUAUAUUUCUUGUUAACUCCAAAGAGAUCAUAAGACCAAAUCUGUCUAUUCGAGAAGGCAUAGAGAUAAUUGUUUCUGGGGGUAUGUCAAUGCCCCAAAUCAUUUCUCCUCAACAAAGGAUUGCCCAGCAGAAUGAGAAAAUUCCGUUGAACAGAAUAAAGUGAUUGCAUCGAACCGAGACGUUUAUGGUAAUUUUAUGAUAUUUCAGUAUGUGCCAUGAUACAUGAAGCAUCUCAGUGUUCUCUGUUCGCUGGAAUGAUGAGAUUAGGGUUGUUCAUAGCAGUAGGCUUUUUGAGGAAAUAUUAUGCUCUUUUCAGUUUUGUAGUUAUACUCACAUUGGGAAGUGCAUUUGUAUACCAUAUGAUUAAAUGAUGUAUCGUCUAUGUUUAUUUAGACAAAAAGGGCUGGAGUCUCAACAACAUGAUUCUUUACGUAAUAUAUCUUGUAAAAAAUAAUUUCACUCUC